rnacentral:rRNA from 1 species
UACGUAGGUGACCAGCGUUGUCCGGAUUUACUGGGCGUAAAGAGCGCGCAGGCGGUCGUUCAAGUCGAGUGUGAAAGCCCCCGGCUCAACCGGGGAACUGCGUCCUAAACUGCGAGGCUAGAGUGAGGUAGGGGUGUGUGGAACUUCCAGUGGAGCGGUGAAAUGUGUUGAUAUUGGAAGGAACGCCGGUGGCGAAAGCGACACACUGGACCUUGUCUGACGCUGAGGCACGAAAGCCAGGGGAGCAAACAGG